CAAAAAAAUUAUAAAAAUAAAAUAAAAA
rnacentral:sRNA from 1 species